CCUACGGGAGGCAGCAGUGGGGAAUAUUGGACAAUGGGGGCAACCCUGAUCCAGCCAUGCCGCGUGUGUGAAGAAGGCCCUCGGGUUGUAAAGCACUUUCAGUGAGGAAGAACGCCUGGUGGUUAAUACCCAUCAGGAAAGACAUCACUCACAGAAGAAGCACCGGCUAACUCCGUGCCAGCAGCCGCGGUAAUACGGAGGGUGCGAGCGUUAAUCGGAAUUACUGGGCGUAAAGCGCGCGUAGGUGGCUUGAUAAGCCGGUUGUGAAAGCCCCGGGCUCAACCUGGGAACGGCAUCCGGAACUGUCAAGCUAGAGUGCAGGAGAGGAAGGUAGAAUUCCCGGUGUAGCGGUGAAAUGCGUAGAGAUCGGGAGGAAUACCAGUGGCGAAGGCGGCCUUCUGGACUGACACUGACACUGAGGUGCGAAAGCGUGGGUAGCAAACAGGAUUAGAUGCCCGGGUAGUC
rnacentral:rRNA from 1 species